UACGAAGGGUGCAAACGUUGCUCGGAAUUAUUGGGCGUAAAGCGCGCGCAGGCGGUCCCGCAAGUCAGGCGUGAAAUCCCCGGGCUUAACCUGGGAAUGGCACUUGAAACUACGGGACUUGAGUGUGGCAGAGGGAGGUGGAAUUCCACGUGUAGCGGUGAAAUGCGUAGAUAUGUGGAGGAACACCAAUGGCGAAGGCAGCCUCCUGGGUCAACACUGACGCUCAUGCACGAAAGCGUGGGGAGCAAACAGG
rnacentral:rRNA from 1 species